rnacentral:rRNA from 1 species
UGGCUCAGGAUGAACGCUAGCGGCAGGCUUAACACAUGCAAGUCGAGGGGUAGAAGGAGCUUGCUCCUUUGAGACCGGCGCACGGGUGCGUAACGCGUAUGCAAUCUGCCUUUUACAGGGGAAUAGCCCAGAGAAAUUUGGAUUAAUGCCCCAUAGCACUGCAGGACGGCAUCGUCCAGCAGUUAAAGUCACAACGGUAAAAGAUGAGCAUGCGUCCCAUUAGCUAGUUGGUAAGGUAACGGCUUACCAAGGCGAUGAUGGGUAGGGGUCCUGAGAGGGAGAUCCCCCACACUGGUACUGAGACACGGACCAGACUCCUACGGGAGGCAGCAGUGAGGAAUAUUGGACAAUGGGCGCAAGCCUGAUCCAGCCAUGCCGCGUGCAGGAUGAAGCAUCUAUGGUGUGUAAACUGCUUUUAUACAGGAAGAAACCCUGGGACGUGUCCCAGACUGACGGUACUGUAGGAAUAAGGACCGGCUAACUCCGUG